CCUACGGGAGGCAGCAGUGGGGAAUAUUGGACAAUGGGCGCAAGCCUGAUGCAGCCAUGCCGCGUGAGUGAUGAAGGCCUUAGGGUUGUAAAGCUCUUUCACCGGAGAAGAUAAUGACGGUAUCCGGAGAAUAAGCCCCGGCUAAUUUCCUGCCAGCAGCCGCGGUAAU
rnacentral:rRNA from 1 species